UACAAAAUAAGACACAACAACAUCAUAAAUACUGAACCCUCCAUUAAUGACAAUCCAAAGCUUUAGUAACACAUCAAUCUUUCAAUGGCUGCAGUUUCUUGGGAAAUCCGUUCAUCCCAACACCCAUGAAACUUUGCUUCUAAACCUAGGUGCUCUUCUUUGGUGGUGUAUUGCCAUAUUUCCAAGUGAAUUGCUUUAAAUCAUCAGGAUAAGUACCCCCCGCAACCUCAUGGAUUGGGAUCGCAUCUGAAAUUUCUUUCAAAUCUUCUUUUGUCAGCUUUACUUUCACUGAUUCGAUGUUGCUGUCUAGAUUUUUAAUCUUGGUUGUUCCUGUAAGUGAAAACAAUGUGUCAAAAGCUUUGGUUUUAAAUCUCAAUACAAACUAUAUAUAUAAAUUGGCCUUUGGUACAGGAUUUUUCAGGCCAUUCUUAGUUACUCGAACUUGUAUCGGAGUGUCCAACACAGAUAUGUUCAUUUUCCUAAGGUUUUACAUAUAUCUGGAGGAAUAUGCUAGAAAAGUCUAUGCUAAUUCUGCAGGUUACUAGCUUACUCCGACCGUUUUUUUCUUCAAGUAUCCGUGUCUAAUACCCAACAUAUUUUGACAUGAGUAUUGAAUACAAUUCUCCAAAUAUAUGAAAAACUUCAAAAAAAUAUUAAGAGUUCACUUAUAUUGGAUCACCUCGGUAUUCGAGUUGAAAGUGAUUGAAUGUGACUUACCGGGAAUAGGAGAAACAUCAUCCCCUUGAUGAAGAACCCAGGCAAGUGCAAGUUGUGCCGGUGUACAUCCAUGCUUUUCAGCCAACUUCUCUACUUUCGAAUAUAGGAUCCUAUUUCGCUCCAAGUUCUCUCCUUGAAACCUUGGUAACACUCCCUUAAAAAGUAAAUGUUUGUAAUGAGUCAACCGAUCUGUUUUUUACAACUUAGAAGCAUGUUACUAUGUUAUCCGAAUAUCUGUAUCCAACACUUACUCCUGAACCCAUAUAACAUAGAUUAAGUAUAGGUUAAAGCCAUAUAAAGUGAGUUUCCAUACCAGAGAACUAUUAGAAGUAUCCCCCUUUGCUUUACCGGCAAAGAAACCAUGACCAAGGGGACUAUAUGCAACAAUCCCAAUUCCGAGUUCCCUGUAUUGUUGAACACAUUUAGGCAGACAUAACCUCACAGCAGUUGAAGGAGUUACAACAGUUGAUAACUUGAGAAAAGACGAUCAAUAAGUGAAUUUCAAUCUAUUUGAGCAAAAGGGUAUAUUUAUAUCCCUCCAAAUAUAUAAAAAUUUGAAUAUAUCUAUAUUCGAAUUAAAAAAAAAAAGUUACGAUGAUUGAAGAUAGAAGAAUAAACCUGCAAAGGGGAAUUAGUUCUUCCUCAACAUCACGAGUCCAGAGCGACCACUCAAGUUGUACGGCAGUAAGAGGAUGUACAGCGUGUGCCCUCCUUAUAGUUUCGGGGCUAGCUUCAGAGAUACCAAUGUACUUUAUUUUUCCCUCUUCCACCAACUUCUUCAGUUCUUCCAUCUAUUAUACAUGAAAUAUAUAUAAAUUAUCCUUAAUUUUCCCAUAAACAAAAUAAAAUCGUAUUUGUGCUAAAGAAAGACAAAAUAGGGUUUUUAAUGCAGCAAUGCUUACGGUAUCUUCAAUAGGAGUGUUGCGGUCAACUCUGAUUAUAUAGUAAAGAUCAAUAUAAUCCACAUCAAGGCGUUGAAGGCUAGCCUCAAGUGAAGAACGAACAAAUUCAGGAGUGCCAUUGAUAACCGGACCAUCUGGACCCAUGCUUUCAACACCGAAUUUUGUAGCCAACUGUACCUUCUCUCGUGGCAGAUGCUUCAAUGCCUGCAAAAAAAGAAAUGAUGUUGGUUUCCAUAUACCUUUAACGAGCCAAGAACAAGAAUGAAAACAUUAAAUCAUCCAUUUGAUAAACUAAAAAAAUCCAUCUCUCACGCAUAUCUUCGAACAUGUAAUAGACACAAGAGUGUGGGAAAUUGAGAACAUGAAAGAAUCGCUCUCAGUUUCAAUGUGAUUCAACUUGAAGAGAUGACGAAAGGAUGUUACCUUUCCGACCAGAAUUUCGUUAGUUUUGGGUCCAUAUAAGUCGGCUGUAUCGAUGUGAGUGACUCCUCUUUCGACUGCAUGCUUAAUGAUGGCUAUGCCAUCUUCAUCUGACACUGAAUGAUCGUGACCUGUAAGACUCAUACACCCAAAUCCCAGCUUUGAAACCUGCAGCAACCAAAAAACAAUGGAUUUUACCCCCAAAAGAAAACGCCAUUUUCUUAACUAAUAUAACUGGUAGGAAACAAAAUCUCAAACCUCAAAUCCUUGAGUUCCAAGUUUCACUCUAGGAAUCUCAAUUGCCAUCUUUUGUUUCCUUUUUCUUCUUCUUCUUCUUCUUCUUCUUUGUGUACUAUAUAAACAAAGGCUUAUCCGAUUACUGAUCCUCUCAAAACACACCUUAAAUAGAAAAUCUUGAUGGAUUUAUCUAGUAUCUUAUCUGUUCUCACCUUUGUCAACAUUCUUACGUCAUUAAGCAUUUCAUCCCACGUGCCUCAAUUGAAUGAGUGGAUAAAGCUCCUUUUCAGACAAGUUUGACACGGUUUAAAUAGUUAGUCUAUGAUUUGGUAUUUAAGUUUGGUUUUUUUUUUAAUUUGAUAUUUAUGUUAUUUUAUGGUAAAUUAUAAAAAUAAUCACUAGGGGUGAAAUUCUUUUUUUUGCCUUUGAACUAUAAAAAGUUAUUUUUUUUGUCACUAAAAAUAUUUACUUAUAAUAUUUCGAUCACUCUUCUUUUAAUAGCAAAGUGAGGUGAGGUGGAAGAUAAACAAUAAGUAUAGUACACAAAGAUAAAAUACUAAAUUUUACAUUUAAUUUUUUUUCGUAAAUAUUUUUUACAAAGAUAAACAAUUAAUCAUAAAAUGUGCUUUUAUCAUCCCAUAUUUAAAAUAUAUUUUUUCAUAGUAUUUUGGGAAGUGUUUUGAAUAGUAAUUUACCAUUUUUGUUUGAUAUAACAUUUGGUAUCCAAGUUUGACAUUUUUUAACGCGGUAUUUAUAUUAUUUUUAUCCAAUAUGAUACUUGCAUUUAGAAAAAAAUUAUAUAUUUUGGUAUCUAAAAAUAAAAAUAUUAAUUUUUUAAAUUCGGGUUUUAAGAUUAAUUUAGUGAAAAAUAACUUCUAAUAUUUUAUGUUUGAAUUUUUCAUGAUCUUCUUAAAAGAAUGAAUUUAGUGUUAUUUGUAUAUUUUUUAGUUUUGCAUUAAAUUAUUCAAAUACAAGUUGAUAGAUAUGAUUUAAUUCAAGUUUUAGGAUCGAUGUGAUGAAAUUUAAUUGCUAAUAUUAUUAGCCAAUUACGAAUUUCAUCUAACUCUAAAAUUUAGAUUAAACAUUAAAAAGUAUUUUUAAUUCUAACCCUUUAAAAAAUUUUCCAGACUCCACCACCGACCAUUUUAGAAAAAUAAGUAUGAAAUACCAAAUUAUACAUUUAAUUUUUUUUUCGUUAAUAUUUUUCAUGAAGAUAAACAAUUAAUCAUAAAAUAUAUAUUUUUCAUAGUCAUCCCAUAUUUAAUUACUUGUUUUUGACUUCCAGAAGUAGUAAAAUAUUUCGAAAAAGAAGGGACUAGGGAUGGUCUAAAGAGUUGGCAGACACUGGAAGAUUCUAUAUACAGUUGUCCUUUGGUAGAAAAUCAACAUUGGUAUAACUUCUGGAAUCUUGAGCUUGAGCUGUCGAGUUUUAUCCACUUCCUAAAUUGACACCCAUACUUCAUUACCGACAUGCUAUUGUAUUUGAAAUUAAUUUCAAGAUAAAAUUUAUUAAAAUAUGACGUGAUAAUAAAAAUAACAUAAAUAUAAUAAUAUGUGAAAUAAAAUUAGAAUCAUUUUGAAAAUUCUGGAUAUAUCAUCAUAAUAUAAAUACAUGGACGUGUUAAAAUUUGCUUAAAAUAAAUUAUAAAUUUACCAAAAAUUAUAUUAUUUUUAUAUAAUUUUUAAUUUACUCAUAACUUCUAAUCUUUACAUUGAAGGAUAUUACACAAUUAGAUACGUUUAAACUCACGACUUCUCAAUUGUUGCAUCAGUAAUGAUGUCAAUUGAGUUAAAAUUCAAUUAGUUAUAAUAUUAAGUAUUACCAGAUUUAUGACAUACCCCUGAGUGAAAAAAAACUCAUGCAACAAAUAUAUUUAUUAAAAUAUAACUUAAUUUAUAUAUAAAUAAAAUUUAAUAAUUUUAUAAUUAAAAUAAUGCAUGAUUGACAUUCAUAUAAACUCAAUAAAUAUAUAUUAUGGCGCAAAAAGUAAUACUAACAUGAUCCGACCAAGCAUUAUCAUAAUUCAUAAUUAUCCUUAAAAUAUUUGUCGUUGUCUCUUUCAUAAAAAGAAUUACUCUCUUUAAUUCAAAUUAAGGAAUCUCACCAAUAAGUGUGGGUGCAAUGGUAAGGUAUAUUGUAUUUUUAAAGAGAGAUAUAGGUUCAAAUCUGGGAGAUGACAUUGUUGGGAUGAAUAGCCACGCACAUAAACCGUAAAACGAACAUGAAAAAUACAAAAAUUUUAAGGAAUCCCAUAAUACGUAUUAAUUAGAAAAUACUUUCGCCGCGUAUUGAGAAAUUUAAAAUUUUAAAAUUAAUAUUUAUAUUAAAAUAUAUAUUUAAGAGUUACGUAUUAAUUUUAAUUUAAUAUUUAAUUUGAUAUAUAAAUUUUGAAUUGACACAAUUAUAUAUAUAAAACUUUAAUUUUGAUUUAAUUUUACACAUUUAAAUAAAUAUAUAUUGAUAUUGGAUAAAUAUAAUUAUUUGUAUAUUUAAUCAGAGGCGAAUCCAGGGUGGCUGGCAGGGCCCUGGCCCCCUUAAAAUGAAAAUUUGUUGUUUUAAUCCUUUAAAAAUUUUUAAAAUUUAAAAUUAGUAAAAGUAAAAUUACACUUUGGCUACCUUAAAAUUAUGAAAAUUUAAUUUAAUCCGUUAAAAUUUAUAAGAUAUAGGCUAUUAAAAAUUAAAAUUUCAUUUCGGCCCCCCCUAAAAAUUUUUUUUAACUUCGCCCCUGUAUGUAAUAUGUGAAUAUUAAAUGGCGUUUGUAUAGAUAAUAGUGCUAUUGAUUGGUGAAAAUUACAUCAAACUGAAAUUUUAUGUAUAAAAUUACACAUAAUCAAAAUUUAUAUAUCAUAUCACAUAUUUGAUCAAAUUCAUAUGUAAAUUUAAUAUUUACACCUUAUAUAAAUUUUAGAUAUAUGAAUUUAUCCAUCAUAAAUUAUGAAGAAUUUGAGAGAAAUAAUAGAAAAUAAUGGAAACGCAACGCAGCAUGAAAAAUAACAAAAAGUCGAAACUUUAUAUGAAAUGAAUAUAUAAGCAUAUAAAUACUUAAGUAACAUUAUAAUACUUUGAACAUAAAGUAAAAAAAAAAAAAAUAACAACGUGGUUUCGAUCUUGAAAAGUUAAAAAUUAUUUGUUAAGUAUUUAUGAUAUAAAUUGUGUUUGGUAUAGUUAGAUAUUAUUAAACCAAAAUUUUAUUAUCUAAUUAUUGCAAAUAUUAACAUAUAUCCAUAUGAAAUUUUUUGAUUAAGGGUUUUAGAACUGGAUCGGUGGUCCAACCGAUCAAAUCAUCGGUUCGAUCAGUCAGUUUGGUUUAAUUGAAAAAAUAGAAAAAAAAUUGAUUCAACCGUCGAGUUCAACCAGCCCGUAUCGAUUCUUGGAUCAACCUGUGUAAUGGUUUUCUUUGGAUCGGUACCCUUUCCGAUUCCUGAUCCAACCGGUCCAGUUCAAACAACAUUGAUUUUGAUAAUUAUUCCCAUUAUCCAACAAUUAGUCUAAUGAUAUAUGUUCAUUUUGAUUUUAGGGGUUUAAUUUCCUAAAUGAUGAAUCAAUAAAUGAUUUUUUAUAUUUUUAAUAUUUUAGAAUUUUAUUAAAAAUUAUAAGAUUUUAUAAUUUAUUCGAAUUUAUUAUGAUUUAUUAUAAGUUUUAUAAUUAUAGAUAAUAACUAUUUUUAUUAUAAUUUUUUUCAAACCUUUUUAUUAAUGUUUAUAAAUUUAUAGAAAGUUUUAAAUAUAUUAAAUAUGUUUUAUUUUCAUUUUUAUAUUUAUACUUAUGAUUUAUAAUGAUUUUUUUAAUAUUUUUACAAGUUUUAUAAUUUUUAUUUAAUUUUUUAUUAUUUUAAUGAUUAUUUAUGGAAAAAAUAUAAGAUUAAACCAACAACUAUCUUAUAUCACCAUCUAAUUUGUCUAUCAAUUAAUUUUAAUAAUCAACGUCAUAACAAACAGAAAUAAUUAAGUGGAAAAUCCAAACAAAGCCAAGGAGUUUUGUAAUUUUAUUCAAAUUCCCAAGGAUAAAAUCUAUUCUUUAUCUAUUUAAAUAAAAAUAAAUCUAAUCUUAAUUAAAUUCUUAACAAAAUAUUUUUAUAAAUUACAAACAAAAUAAUAAAAAAAUCUUAUACAAAAAUAUUUGCUCACAAGCCAAAUUCUUCGCAAUGAUAUUAGGUUUCAGACUAUACUCUAAUAUUCUAGAUAUGUACUACACCGACAUAUAUGUCAAUCAAUCACAGAUAGGAACAAGGUUGCCGACUUUUCACUAACGUCGCUUGUUCACAUCCUAAUCUCGUAGAUUUGAUCGUAUAAGGGGUAUGAUUAAUUUUUCAAUCAAAAGUUUUUUUUCAUUUUUCUAUCCCUAUCUCAUAAGCACAACAUUUGAGUGAAUUCAACAAAUUAAAAAUCAAAAGGUGAAGAAUAUGAUUGCAAAAUAGAACAGAAAAAUUGGUUUCCCAAAGCAGCCAAAAUCUAAAAAAAAAAACUCUUUAAAAGCUUUAAUUUGAAAAUUGAAUAUCUAAUUUUAAGCCAAGUAAGUAAAGGCGUGUCUAAGGUGGGUUUAAUUUUUUCAUGAGAAGGAAGGUGUUGCAACGAGUUUAUAAAGAUCUCAUGUUUAAAAGUGUCUACUUUCUAAAAGUGGUUUGAGUUUAGGUGAGUUUAGUCAUGCUUUUAAAUUUUGAUUCGUGGAAAAGUGAUUUUAAAAAAUACUUUUGAAAAGUUUAGUUUAAGAUUUGAGUGUUUAACAUUACUAUUAAAAAGUGACUUCGAGAAAUAAAAUGUUAAUUUUAGACAUGUUAUUAUCAAGUAAUAAAUAUGCAUUUAAAUAAUGUUCAAAUUAGUUAAUAUUAUUAUAUUUUAAUAAGAAUAUAACAAAAUUAUUAUAACUUCUUGUUAAUAUUCCAAUAUAUGAAAUAUAAAUUUUAAAUAUUUUUAAACAAUAAAUAUUAAUUAUUUAUAAAAUUUAAUUAGAAUAUAUAAACUAUAUUUUAAAAUUUUAAAUAUAACCAUUAAAUAUUUGUAAUUAGAUAUUAACACAUUUGUAUUAUUUUAAAAAAGAUUUAUUUUUUAUUUUUAAUUAAUGAUUUUAAUACAUUUGUAAUUAAGUACUAAGAAAGGAAAAAAGAACAGAGAAAAUACUAUGUUAUUGUAAGGGUGAAAAAGUAAUUAAGCACCAAAAGUGCUUUUGGGAGAGGAUUCAAAGGUGCUUCUGAAAAGCCAAAAAUUUCAGCCAAAAGCAGCUUGUUUAGCACAGUUUUUCUUCCAAAAGUACUCUUAGAGCCAAAAGUGCUUUUUUUAAGCACUACAAGUUUGAUUAGCAUGAGCAUUAUUGUUAAUAUAGAAGAGCGUGGGUUUAGGUGUGAUGAAACGUAUUGUCCUCUUAUUUAUAGGUUAGGGAGGAACUAUGGAUGGUUCUAGGCAUUUUGUCUAAAAAAGAGCAUAUAAGAUCAAAACUUAUAAUGAAUUAAUUGUUCAAAAAAAAAACUUUGAAGAAAAAGUUUAGUGACGUAAUGAAUUGGAUGUUUACCACUUGUGAUUAAAACUAAAAUUUUUAAGAUAAAUUGUUAUAUUACUCACUAAAUUAUGUGUAAAUUUUCGUUUUGAUUAUCUAACUAAAAAAGCUACAAUUGGUCACUAAACUAUUUGUAAGUUUUCAUUUAAGUUAAUGGGUUAUUAAAAUUGAUUCUAUAUGGCUUUCUUUGUUUGCACCGUCUUAAUCAAUUGAAAACUCUUUUCCCCCUUCUCCUCUACAAUCCAAUUUUUUUUAAUGGAACAACUUUGGAUGUCAUGAAUCUGCGAACUAAAAAUCAGACAACUUUUUUCUCUGAUUUCUGACAUUGAUGUCAGAUUAACUUAGAUCUAAAGUAAUUUUUUCUACUUGUUAAUGGGUAUCGAUCUAUUGUGCCAAUCGUCUACUUGUUGCUUGGAGCAUGCCGGCUGAAUUUAAAAAAAUAAUAAUUAAUAGCCCAGUUACUUAAAUAAAAACUUUUGAAUACUUAAGUGACCAAAACGAAAAGAUACCCAUAAUUUAGUGACUAAUGAUGUAAUUUGCCCCAUUUUAAACCCACAUAGAAAGACGAAGCUCGGUAAUUUAUUCGAAAACACACGUGUAUCCCAUCAAAAUUGAGGAAUUAAAAACAAGUAAAUGAAGUUUUGCAAUGCCCAAAGCCAACCCUUUGGAUUGUAUGAUUUUUUUUUAAUGACAAAUGUUGCGGGCCAUUUUGCCCGGGACCCAUCACAGCCCAAAUACCCAAAAACACAUAUCAGAAAAAAUUUACCCUAACCCUAGGUGUGCCGCACCUAGGGCCUUCGUCCCUCUGCCUCUUCUGACCAGCGCCGUCUGCAGGCCUCCACCAGCACUGUCACGCCGCCACCGCCAACGUCAUGUCGGUCACCUUCCACUUGCGCCGCCUGUCAUCUGCAAAAGAGAGAAACGAACAAGAUGGAAGCAAUAACAAGAAGGCUUUAAAAAGCCGAAACAAAUGUAAAAAACGGGGGACUUUUGUUUUUUUGAAAUCGGUAUACAAACCGAUUGAAACCUUUGUAACGGGGGUGGGUUCUUUUUCUUUUUUUUCUCUUUGCAAGGAUCUGGCACAAAGCAAAACAUCGAGAAGCCCCAAUUUGCGCUAAUCCCAAUGUCGUACCAGGAGCUGUAUCAGAAUUUAUUUGACGCACAUGUUGUUUCCCCUUUCUACUUGAAGCCUUUACAACCUCCGUACCCUAAAUGGUACGACAUGAAUGCGCAAUGUGACUAUCAUGCGGGAGUUACAGGGCAUUCAAUAGAAAAUUGUGUUGCCUUUAAAAAUGUGGUUGAAAGGCUCAUCAGUAUGGGUAUCGUCAAGUUCGAUACAGAAAAUCCACUGCUUAAUCAUAUUGAUAAUCGGGGUGAAUGCGAUGAAUGAGAAAAUAUUGGGAAACGUUCACAUUAACGCCGCAUGAAGAAACAAUUGAAAAAGGACAUUGUUAGAUAUUUACCCUUACAUACUUAGGGGUGUUUUGAGCAAUAGGACUGCGAAAGAGAUCCCUGUACUUUUUAGAGCUAAUUUAGAGUAAUGUCUAAAACACGCUUAUUGCUCUAAGCCUAGGGGCAAUAAGAAUCCUUUUGUGAGAAAGGCUUAUGUCCAACAUCUUUAUUUCAAUAAAAUGCAUCUUUGUUUCUCACUUCGAGCAAAUAUUCUUUUAUUGUUUCCAUUUCAUUCAUAAUCAUACUAUACAGAUAAAUAUUCUUAGAUUCUUUUAUUCUUUGGAUCUACUUUCGUCCCUAUAAUAGGUCUUCAGAUAUUAAUGAUAUGAGCGACACUGCUAUUGACUUAGAACCUCCUUUUGAGCAAGAUAUGUGUCCAGAUUAAACUUCAAGACUUUGGAGAUAACUGAGACUGUAGCUUAUUUCCUGAUUUGUUAAGGACGGGAGAACAAGAUUCUACCUUACAAAAGAAUCAAUGGAAGCCAUGACCUUUCUCUAUGGGGCACAGAUGUCAUAGGGCCAAUCUCACCUAAGGUUUUUGACGGUUAUCUUUAUGGUCAUCAAUUACCUCACUAAGUGGGCAGAAGCUGCUUCAUAUGCCGAUGUCGCAAAGCCGGAAAUCUGUAAAUUCUUGAAAAAUCAUAUGUCAGUAUGGAAUGCCAAAAAGGAGCAUAUCUGACAAUGCACGAAAAUUAAACAAUGGCACGAUAUCAGAAGUUUGCAGUCUGUUCAAGGUUAACAUAUUUUGCCCCAAUAUGCACGGUGCAGCGGGAACAAAAAUAAAAAUAAAAGAGAAAAAACUCCUACUGGGGCAAUGUAUUGGCUUAUCAUAGUUUUGCUCAUUGAGGUCAAGAUUCCUUCUCUCCGAGUGUUGGAUCAGAUCCCGAUUGAAGAGAAAUGUGCAAAGUUAUCUGUCUCGGUCAAAUACACUAAAAACAAAAGACAUGAGCUCACCAAAGAAGGUUCGCCUUAGAGAGUUCUAUGAAUGGGACCUAACAUCGAAGAAAAUCCUCUCUAUACAAAAAGGACUUUAGAAGAAAGAGGAUAUCAAACUGAAAAGAACCUUAUGUGGAAGGCUUUAUCUAGAGAAGUGUUGAUUUCGACCAGAAAGGAUAGCAAUGACUUACUUGAUCCUGCGAAUGCGAAUUCAAUCAAAGAAUGUUUAAAAAAAUAUAUAAAAAAAAGAAAGAAAAAUAAAGAGAAAGAAAAAAAGAAGAAAAAGAAAAAGGAGAGGCCAAUGUAAAAACCCACAAAGGGCACCUUAGACCAAAGGGGUUUUGAAUUGAAAACCCAAGAAUGGGCAGUUCAAAUUUUGAUCAAAGGUGGGGCAUGCGGUGGCCUUGUCCUCUCUGAGUUAGCAAGAAGGAGAGAUGCUACAUAUUGGGGCAUCAACAAAGUCUUCUAGGACUUCUAAACACAUAUCAAGUUCGAAAGGGUCCUCAAGAAGUUUAGGGCAGAGAAGCUCAUGCUAUGAUAUCUGGGGCACCUGUUUCCAUUUUAUUCAUUUUUAUUUUGGCAAAAUAUGUCAUCUUGAUUAAUUUAUUCUCAUUUCGUAUCUUAGCAAAUUUGCUAUCUUGAUUAUUUAUUUCGAGCUUUGUUCUCAAUAAAAUUCCAUAUUGUCCAUUGUGAUAAUCCUUUUCAUUUUAUUCAUUUCGUAUCUUAGCAAAAUUUGCUAUCUUGAUUAUUUAUUUAUUUCGAGCAUUGUUCUCAAUAAAAUCCCAUCUUAUCCAUUGUGAUAAUCCUUUUCAUCUUAUUCAGUUCGUAUCUUAGCAAAAGUUGCUAUCUUGGUUAAUUUAUUCAUCUCGAGCUUUGUUCUCAAUAAAAUUUCAUCUUGUCCAUUGUAAGAAUCUUUUUCAAGCAUUUUUCAUUGAAGUAAUGAUUAAUGGACUGAUAAUAUUCAAGCAAAAGGAGUUUUGCAUAUUACUUUGAAAGCUUCUAAAUAAUACAGAAACUUGAAACAGGACUAUUGUUUAGAACACACCAAGUUUAAAGGUUGAAAUGUCUAAGAAGGAAAAGUCUAACUUAAGACUAUCCUUUCGGAUUUUGUUGUCCAAGCAUGGAUUAAACAAAAUGACAAAAUGUCGUGUUGGUGACAAAGCUUCAAUGAACAAACGAGCAAUGAUCACUGAGUGAUAAAAAGAUGUUUUUUGGUAGAGAAAGUUCUACAAUUGUGCAUAAAUAUUUGGUACGACACCCUGGGAAUGGUACAGAAGACCAAAGAGAUUCAGAUCUUGUAUCCCAGAAUUGCAGUGGGAGAAGAUUGAGAAAGAGCCAGAUCUUAUACUCAGCGGGAGGAAGAUGGCUCAAAUUUUAUGUCCCAAAAUUACCGUGGACUUAACCUUGAAGAUUACAACGGAUUCAACUCUAAAGAUUACAGUAGGGGGCAAUCUGGCUAUGUAAGAGAUGAGUGUUACCAGCCGAGCAAGAUAGCAUUCUGACAUGUUGGUAAUAAAACCUUAUUGAAUAACGAGCAAUAAUAACCCUAAGCAUUAAAAGAGGGAUCAUUCUCAAAAAAUGACAUUCUACAUUCAUGCAAAUAUAAGAAAACAGUUUAUAUAUACAUAUAUACAUAUAUACAUAUAUAUAUAUAUAAGAAAACAGUUUAUAUUUGCCGAAAAUAAAAAAAAAACUUUACCUUUUCGGUGGCCGGCGCGGCGGCGACGUGGUGGCCCCGCUCGCUGGAUUCUGAUCAGAGGCGGAGAGGCUUGAGAGAAUUUUGAAGGGUUUUCUGAAAAUUUUUUUAGAAGAAAUUGGCUAAAUGAAUUUUUUUUUGUUAAAAUCUUAGUUUAUAUAACUUAUCAAAACGACGCCGUUUUGAUUUAAUGACCCCAGACCAAUACGACGCCGUUUUAGGGUCGAUCUGCACCGUGACCCGACCCUGGGGAAGGAUCCUCGUGUUUUCAUUGGAAGGGCUAAUUGCACCUUUAGCCCUUCCGCUUUUUAAUGUUUUUUUAAUUAGGUAUUUCUAAAUUUUUAAUUUUUACCCCGUUAUUUUAUUGCAAUUUCAAUUCGAUCCACUCUUGAACGACGUCGUUUUGGGGAAAAGGGAUAAUUCCCAUUCUGGUCCCUUCAUGCUGUGCGCGUGUUCAGGAAGAUCCUCCUUUUAUUUUAUUUGCGAAUUUACCCCAAAUUUUUGUUUUUUAAUGCAAAUCAGUCUCUUUUAUUUAUUUAUUUAUUUUAUCAAUUGAUUCAUUUUUAUAUUCUAUAUGCAAUCGUGUUUGUAUUAUUCUUGUUAUUAUGUUUCCAAUUUGUUUAUUUCCAAUUUGUUUAUUUACUUAGUUUAAACAUUAUUAAUAUCAUUUUUUACUGUUGUUUAUGUUUACUUAUUUAAAUAUUCAAGAUAUUUGUUUCAUUAUAUUAAUAUUGUUGUUUGUUUAUUGAUGUCCUUUUUAACUUUGUUAUAUACGUGUAUAUGUACACCUCAUAAAUAUAUAUCUAUAUGCAUAUAUUCCUUUAUUCUAUAACUCAUAUAUGUGUACGUAUAUAUAUAUAUCUUUUAUAUUUAAGAAUUUUGAAAUAUAUUCAUACAUACAUAUAUUUCUAUAAUAUAUACAUAUAUUUUAUAACCCCAAAAUAUAUACAUACUCACAUUUUCAUAAUUUUUAUACACGCACAUAUAUUUUUAUAAUAUAUCUAUACAUACAUAUAUACAUAUAUUUUUGUAACUUAUUUUUGUUUGCAUGUGUAUUUACAUGUUUAUUUUUUCAUAUAUUUUAAUACAUAUCUACAUAUAUAUAUAUAUAUAUACGUAUUUAUAUAUCUUUAUUCAUUUUUUAUUUUUAUUUAUUUAUUUAUUUAUUCAUUUGUUUUCUUACAUUAUCAUCAUCAUUCCAUUACACUCAUUUUUUAUUUAGAUUUCAAAAAAAGAAAUUUUAAAAAAUAAAAGUAACACUCGAUAUUUGAGAUCUUCGAGAAAAUCGAGCCCUAACAUAUCGGGUUCUGACUUUUUUCGUUGAAUUUAAAUAAUCGAGAUUACUCUUUUAAAAAUGAUAAAAAGCUCGUUAUCGAGAAUUCAAUACGUUGUGUCCUAACGCAUUGGAUGUGACACGUUGUUUUCUCGAGAUGAGGAUUUUUCGCAAUAAAUGCAAUAUUCAAUGUUUAAUAUUUUGAGAAAUUGUAACCUAACGUAUUGGGUUGCGAUUUCUUCAUUUGAUUUAAACAAUUGAAUAUUCUUUUAAACUUUAUUACACAAAUCUUUUCAAACUCAAGUUUUAAACGAUAUCGGGAAUUAAAAAAGGAUCGUGUCUUAACUUACUGGUCGUGAUCCCUUUUUAAUCCAAGAUAGUUAAAUGUCUUGUAAAUAAUCAUCUUUCAUUCGCGUACCGGGAAUUCGAGACAUUGUGUCCUAACUUACUGGAUAUAAUUCUCUUUCUCGAAUAACGUGAAAUAUGCCCCUUUUCCUAGAAAUUUUUCAACGUUUUAAUACAAGGAUCGUAUUUUUAAAAUUCUUCAAAGUUUUCAAUUUUCGACAUUAAGUAAUCAACUAGGUACCAAUUUUGGGCGUAUCGAGGGUGCUAAUCCUUCCUCGUGCGUAAUCGACUCCCGAACCCGUUUUCUGAAUUUCGUAGACCAAACUCGUUGUUUUAAUAAAAUUAAAUUGUUUAUUAAAAACAACCGCUUUUAAAGGUGACCCGAUCACACCUCAUCAAAAAAGAUUGGUGGCGACUCCCAUUUUUAUUUUUUAAAAUCCAAGUCGACCCCGUUUUUCAACCAAAAAAUGGUGUCAACAACAAAAAAAGAGGGAAGGCAAAUAUAACCCUUCAAAUGGAGAAAAGAGCGGGGUUGGCAAGGAAGCAAUGAGAAACCGUCAAUGCAGUGAUUCUCUAAAUUUGUUUGGUUCUCAAAUUUACAUGUUAUUUCUAUUUAAUUUGAUAGAAUCUUUGUUGUUUUGUAUGUUGAUUUUCUUCAAGGCUUGCUAUAUUUUCUUGUUGGUCUCCUUUGCAUGGCCAUUGGUUUGCAAUGUUUUCAUUGAGCUGCGGGCAUGAGAGAUAUGGAGAUUCUUGCAGAAGUCGUCAGAUUUUUUCUAGAAUUGAGUGCCACACUCAAUUAUUAGAAAAUGAGUUAAUCUGUAGCUGUAAAUAAUAGUUUUUCAGACGAAGUUCUCUAUUUAUUUCUCUGCGGUAGUGGCAAAGGCUUCUACCUCCACCCAUUCGAAGGAGUAUCUUAUAGAAACCACUAUGAACUCCUUCUGUGUUAUAGCUAGCUGGAAAGGACUAAGGAUGUUUUUAACCUUAAGUUGCGAAGGGUCAAAGGCUGGAAAUGAGUUGGAAAUGUGGGUGCAAAAUUUUGGCAUAGCUUGCAUCUCAUGACUAGUCCCAAUGCAUCUUUUUUCAAUGAGGGACAUUAAUAGCGUCGGCGAAGGACUUUCUAGACAAGGGCCCUUGCACUUGGAUGGAGACCGCAUAUCCUUUCAUGUACUUUCUUGUUCACGUAGUGUGUUUCUUCUAGCAAAGACAUCUAAGUGGCAGAGGUUUCUAACAGGGGAAGUCACUCUAGGUCAGUGUCUCCAUUCUCUUGGCCCUUCGAUCAUAAAGUUGGCUAGACAUGCAGCAACCAAAUAGUUGGUUGUAGUGUAAAUGUGUAAUUAUAUUGGUCAAUUAAACUGAGAGAAAAAGAAGAGAUUAAGAAUUGUAUUAGAACAAUAACAACAUACACUUACUAAACAACAGGUAAAAUUACUUUAUUCAUCCAAGUAAAGAAAAUAGAAACUUGGACUUGAUUAUUUCGAACACCGUAAAAGAAAUUAAAACACGAUACAAAGUAUGACACAACAACAUCACAAAUUCUUUUUUUGGGUAAUGGAGGCUUCAACUUUCACUGAACCCCUCCAUGAAACUUUGUUUUAAAACCUAGGUGCUCUUCUUUGGUGGUGUAUUGCCAUAUCUCCAAGAGAAUUUCUUUAAAGCAUCAGGAUAACUACCACCUGCAACCUCAUGGAUUGGGAUCACAUCUGAAAUUUCUUUCAAAUCUUCUUUUGUCAGCUUUACUUUCACUGAUUCAA
rnacentral:lncRNA from 1 species